GUCACUUUUACAGCGCGCUAAAAUUGUGGAAAUAACUGCUCCGUACAAUAGUUAGCUAAUUCAUUUUCCUGGUGUAAGAAGCUGAAUUAAACCCUUUAAGGCAGCGUUUAGGAUGAUUUAGUAUUGCCCGCAGUCAGGGUGAUAUUGAAGGAGCCCCAGAAGAGACUAAAAAAUAUUGAACGCUCAAGCAAGCAAAUAAAUGGGCACACAGACCCAACACCUACCUCACAGCCUCAAUCAUCUGAAAAGGACUCAGGUUGCUGGGGCACUCAGCUGAACUGUAAGAGCAUGCCGGUGGCUGCCCCCAAACUGACUCUGACAGCCAAGGAAAGGGAGUCACUACAGCUGGAGCUGCGGGCAGACAGACAUACCCUACAGCUGGAGCUGCGGGCAGACAGACAUACCCUACAGCUGGAGCUGCGGGCAGACAGACAUACCCUACAGCUGGAGCUGCGGGCAGACAGACAUACCCUACAGCUGGAGCUGCGGGCAGACAUACCCUACAGCUGGAGCUGCGGGCAGACAGACAUACCCUGUUGUCCCCUCUGCCAAAGCCAGCCAACACACGUCAAUACCCCCUGGCCUCUCCAAUGCAGACAGGGAAAGAACACCCAGAGCAGCUGCCGGAGGAGCUCUUUGAGCCCCUAACAGCCUUUGCGCCCUCCAAGCUAUGGUCUCCUGCAGUGGGUUAUCCUCAUCAUACAGACAGGCAGGCAGCAGGGCCCAGCAGCUCAGACAGACCUUCACCAAGAGGCUGACCUCUGCAUUUGAUGAGGUGGGUGAUGCAGAGUAGCCGGUUGUGGGAUAUUUGUCUCUUGCCGUGGAAGCGGCGAUGAGUUCACCGCAUGCCAAAAGGGGAGGCGCUGGCAAGGGAGAGAUCGCAGGACGCGCCGCCAGUUCCUUUGUCACACCUUCCAGGCAGAACGAAGGGACAACUCUCCUGAGGGAGAGGGCUUCCAAGAGUACCAUGCCACAGGAUCUGCCUUCUCCUGACGAGCACCAGCCCCAGGUUGGUGGUGGCGUAACGUCUGCAACAGACCCCGCCAGUCUGUGGCCCGCUGGACAACGCUCCUCAUUAGGGUCUGGCUCUGGAGGAGGAGAGGAUGAAGAAACCAGAUCAGGUCUCAAAGGACAGGCAGAGGGCGGUACGAUAGAAGAGACCGCCGUCGGCACCACCACUGCCAAGAAAUCUCGAGUGAGGGCCAGACAGGGCCGGGGAGGAGGGGAUGUGGAGGAGGCAAGAGUGUUAACACAGCCACCGCAGGCCGAUGGUGAUGAGCUCGGAUUGGAGAAGAAGGGUACAAAGAAAAGGGGUGGAAAAAGACAAAGGAAUCCUGACACAGAUGGAGAUAACCCUGCAGGCACGGAGAAAGAGGAGUGGGUGGUGAAAAAGACAAAGGAAUCCUGACACAGAUGGAGAGAACCCUGCAGGCACGGAGAAAGAGGAGUGGGUGGUGAAAAAGACAA